UGACGGAGCAACGCCGCGUGAGUGAUGAAGGUUUUCGGAUCGUAAAGCUCUGUUGUUAGGGAAGAACAAGUACCGUUCGAAUAGGGCGGUACCUUGACGGUACCUAACCAGAAAGCCACGGCUAACUACGUGCCAGCAGCCGCGGUAAUACGUAGGUGGCAAGCGUUGUCCGGAAUUAUUGGGCGUAAAGGGCUCGCAGGCGGUUUCUUAAGUCUGAUGUGAAAGCCCCCGGCUCAACCGGGGAGGGUCAUUGGAAACUGGGGAACUUGAGUGCAGAAGAGGAGAGUGGAAUUCCACGUGUAGCGGUGAAAUGCGUAGAGAUGUGGAGGAACACCAGUGGCGAAGGCGACUCUCUGGUCUGUAACUGACGCUGAGGAGCGAAAGCGUGGGGAGCGAACAGGAUUAGAUACCCUGGUAGUCCACGCCGUAAACGAUGAGUGCUAAGUGUUAGGGGGUUUCCGCCCCUUAGUGCUGCAGCUAACGCAUUAAGCACUCCGCCUGGGGAGUACGGUCGCAAGACUGAAACUCAAAGGAAUUGACGGGGGCCCGCACAAGCGGUGGAGCAUGUGGUUUAAUUCGAAGCAACGCGAAGAACCUUACCAGGUCUUGACAUCCUCUGACAAUCCUAGAGAUAGGACGUCCCCUUCGGGGGCAGAGUGACAGGUGGUGCAUGGUUGUCGUCAGCUCGUGUCGUGAGAUGUUGGGUUAAGUCCCGCAACGAGCGCAACCCUUGAUCUUAGUUGCCAGCAUUCAGUUGGGCACUCUAAGGUGACUGCCGGUGACAAACCGGAGGAAGGUGGGGAUGACGUCAAAUCAUCAUGCCCCUUAUGACCUGGGCUACACACGUGCUACAAUGGACAGAACAAAGGGCAGCGAAACCGCGAGGUUAAGCCAAUCCCACAAAUCUGUUCUCAGUUCGGAUCGCAGUCUGCAACUCGACUGCGUGAAGCUGGAAUCGCUAGUAAUCGCG
rnacentral:rRNA from 2 species